UACACAUCUGAUCACCUGGGCGUC
rnacentral:miRNA from 1 species